rnacentral:lncRNA from 1 species
CUGGCCUAGGGGGUAAAAAUAAAGUGUUUGCCUCUCCGCCAAUUCCGGGGAAGGCUGGAGGGACUCCUCCAAUGGGAGCCUUGAAGCCUUCGGUAGGGGUGGAGCCUCGUGACCCCGCCCGUGCUCGAGCUGGAGGGAGGGAAGCCUCCCGAGUAGUCGCGAGAUCCUGCUGUGGGCCCUUGGUGCCAUUUCGCCCGCGGCGUUGGCGGCGUGGACAGCCGGGGCUUCGGGCCAGCGGGUGGCAGAAGAUCCUGCAGGUAGCCAAGGGAGGGCGAGUGCUCCUACGGCCCCUAGAAGGCAACCCGGUGAGUACACUGCAGAGUCCACCGCCUGUGCUCUCCCUCCGCUCCCUCCUCCGUCUCCGGGGAAAUGGUUCUGUGCAGGUCUGCCACUCACGUGAUCACCUGUGUGCCUGUCUGUCUCCAUCUCCCCCCGACCCCACAGUCACUGCUUCCCUUUUUGGGUCACACUAGGCAGCCCAGACCUUGGAGGUUUAAUCCUGCCUUGGCCAAUGAAAACUACAUAUGAAACCUUUAAUUACCUACUUCACUUGUCUGGGCCUCAGUUUCAUCACCUGUGAAAUGGGGCUGCACCACUUUGCCCAGUUACUGGCCCCUAGAAAUUUUUCAAUAAUUAAUAACUGUCAUAAUUGAAAAGAGUAUUGUCUCUCUUAGUCUGUAUCUUUCUUUUGUCCCUUCUGCUAAUGUAUCUUUUUUUCUGAAUGCUUAAUUUUCUAUUGUUUUUCUUCUUUCAGCCUCCUUCCCAUCCCUAAAGAGGGUAGAAGUGCGCUGUUUAUAUGGGCGUGUCCUUAGGUCAGGUGAAAAAUGGAGCCUGCCCUUGGGCUGCUUCUGGUUUUAUUGAGGAGAGAACCCCCUUCCAUGCUCAGCCUAUUCUGUUAAACAGGUAGAGACCCUCAAGAUGGGGAGCAACAUCCUAUAUAAUGUUAAUGACCUCAGGAAACCCAGGGAUCUUUUGGUUACAUGCAGCCUGGACAUCUUUUCACACACACACCCCACUUUUCAGUACUGGGGUUUGAACACAGGGCCUUCCCACUUUAGCUACAUCCUCAGCCCUUUUUAUUUUGAGAUAGGGUUUUGCCAGGCGUGGUAGCACAUGCCUGUAAUCCCUGUUCUCUGAGGCUGAGGCGGGAGGAUCGUUGCAAGUUCAAGACCCGCCUGGGCUACAUAGUGAGUUCAGGGUUCGCCUACACCACAAAAUGAGACCUUGUCUCAAGAAAAAAAAAAAAAAAAAAGAGGAAGAAGAAGCAGCAGCAGAAGAAAUAAGGUUUCAUUAAGUCACUAAAUUUCCCAGGCUGGGCUUAAACUUGUGAUCCUUUUGCCUCAGCCUCCCAGAGUGCUAGGAUUGCAAGUGAACAUUCUCUUUUCUGUCCUCAUAGCAACCCUCUUCCUUUCGCACCCUAACUUGUGAAUACUCCCCUCAUUUUCUUACCAUACGUUGCUCAUUCUGACACCUCUUGGUCCCUGCACUCUAAUUUUUAUAGUGUAUAUUUUCAAAUGCCCCCUUCACUAUUCUGUGAAGUACACAGAAAAUAGAACCUAUAUACACACAAGUAGAACCUAUAUACCUCCAAAUCAAUAAUGCCCUUAUUGUGAUACAAGGGUAAAACAAAGAAUAAUUUAUAAUAAGGCAGUAUACAUUUCACUAUGUAAAGGCUAGAAUGUGACUCCAGUAGAAGGCAUUAUGAAAUGGUCUUACACAUAAUGGUAUUUUAACCUGUGACAGCUACAGUACUUGUGUGCUGAUCGAUGACUCAGAAACCACAAAGAGGAUGACGGAGUCUUCCUAAAUGAUGAACAUUUCUUCGUAAGGUUCUAAACAAAGCAACAUACAAUCUUCCUCAGUUUAUGUGGUUGUUGAAUUUUAAUAUAUACAAGUCAGUAUAUAUUAAAAGUCUUUCCCCUUAAAAAAAUCUUAAAUCAUCUACAAUCCACUGCCUCUCUGUGGAGGCAGAGACAGACAGACACAUGCCCACCCCUGCCACUCCUCAUUCCUAGAAGUUUAGCUCGGAGCUCGCUGUCACUCUCUUUAGCACUGCCCUAGUCCUAACCGGCUGGUUUAAUACCCUCAUAGGUGGUCCUUCUACAGAUAUCCUGCCUUUCAGCCCCACCUCAGCCACCCAGUCGAACAGCGUCACCCUUCUUAGCAAUACCUGUGACUGUAUUGCCUCCGUAGCUCAUUUACUGACAUCCUCCUUUCCAAAGAGUACUUCAACCCUUCUAGCUCACUGCCUCUAGUGUCCUACUUCUAGGAAUCCUUCAGCUCACUGGGACUGAACAACUUUUUCCCCUUAACUUCUCCCAUGCUUCCAAUCCCCUUGUUUAACACAUUGACAGUGGGACCAUAAUUCAUAAGUCUCGCCACAGGGUGGCUUGACCCACCCGUGGUACAUGCAUGACUGUCCCAUCAGGUGGUUUUUAAAAUUAAUUUUAUUAGUAAAAAGACUGAUAAAAGUGUUUAGAUCAGCCAGGCGUGGUGGCACACACCUGUAAUCCUAGCACUCGGGAGGCUGAAGCAGGAGAAGCGCUUCAAGUUCGAGGCCAGCCUGAGCUACAAAGUGACUUCAAGGCCAGCCUGAACUGCAGAGCGAGAGACCCUGUCUCAAAACAAAAAGUGUAAAAAAAAGUGUUUAGUUCCAUUUGUACCACCAGUAGUACAAGCCACCGGAUGGAGCAGUCAAGCACAUAGCACUAGUGGUUAAAGCCAGUGAGAUUGUGUUAAUCAGCUUAGAUUUCAUGGCUCUUCAUUAAUUGUAACCAUUCCCUUGUAUAUACUCUCACUUCCCUUUGUCCCUUUCUCGCUACAAUUUAGCAUACAGGCAAAAUUCCAGUCCUGGUCAAGUCCAACCGUGCCUGUUCCCUAACAUUUCCCUAGGCCUUUACUCUUCUACCCUCAGAGAUGCCUAUUUCAGACCCUGUCUCUCCUCAUAUCUCCACCACAGCCUCUCACCGUCAUGCUAAGGCACCGUGCUUAAUUAAAAAUCCAUCAGAAGAAUAUGUCUGCAUAUCCUACCACCACAUCCAACCACCGUAUAGCAUCUGUACUCAUCACCUUGCCUUCUUCUCUGUUAUUAUGGGUAAGCAUUGCUGUUGCCAUCAAAAUCAGUCCUUCUGCGUUGGCACUGGACCCCAUCUUCUCUUAACUACUCGAGGACAGUGCCCCAUCACUUUCCCCUCCUCUCCAAGAUCCUUUUUAGUGGCACACAGACAUUAUGUUAUUGCUGUCAUCUUUUCUUUUUCUUUUUUCUUUUUUGGUGUUAGGAAUCGAACUUAGGGCCUCGCAUAGGCUUAAGCACACAUUUCACCACUGAGCUACAUCCCUUAACCUGUUCUCAUCUUUUUGUUACAGCUUUGAGAUAUAUUUUACAUACUGUGCAAUUUACCCUUUCCACAGUGCUGGUCAGUGGUUUGUAGUAUAUUCACGGAAUUGUACAAACGUCACCAUGAUCAGCUUUAGAACGUUUCCCUCCUCCUCUGUCAAAGAAGCUUCGUACUCAUUAGCAGUCACACCUUGUUAAUUUCCUUACCUCCAGCUCUUAUGUGACAGCUAAUAUUCUGUCUGUCUCUAUAAAUUUGCCUGUUCUAACAUUCCAUAUAAUUGAGCUCGUGCAAUAUGUUGGUGCUUAUGGCUGGCUUUUCCCACUUAGCAUAUGUUUUGGGAGGUCAUCCAUAUUGUUUCAUAUAGCAUUUGUUUCUAUUGCCAAAUAAUGUUCUGUUGCAUGGAUAUGUCACAUUUUGUUUAUCCAUCGGUCAGUCAGUAGACAUGUAAGUUGUUUCCACAUUUGGCUUAUGAAUAAUGUUUCUCAGAACAUUUGUUUGCAAGUGUUUGUGGGUAUGUAUGUUUACUUUUCUCUGGGGUAGAAUUGCUGGGUCUUUUGGCAACUCUCCGUUUAACUUUUUGAGGAUCUACCAAACUGUUUGAGAAAGUGCCCAUACUAUUUUACUUUCCCAUCAGCAAUGUAUGAGGGCCUCAGUUUCUUCACAUCCUUGCCAAUACUUUUUAUUGUCUGUUUUUUAUUAGGGACAUCCUAAUGAGUAUAAAGUAGUAUCUUGUAGUUUUGAUUUUUAUUUCCCUAAUAACUAAUGGUUUUAAAUUUCUUUUUAUGUAUUUAUUACUUAUUUGUAUAUAAUCUUUUGAGAAAUGUCUAUUCAGACCCUUAGCCCAUUUUUGUCCAAUGCUUGGGAUGGAACCCAGGGCCUCAUCCACUCUAGGCAAGUGCUCUACCGCUGAGCUACAUCCCU